rnacentral:rRNA from 1 species
UACGGAGGGUGCAAGCGUUGUUCGGAAUUAUUGGGCGUAAAGGGCGUGUAGGCGGUUUGGUAAGUCAGAUGUGAAAUCCCUGGGCUCAACCCAGGAAGUGCAUUUGAAACUGCCAUGCUUGAGUAUGGGAGAGGAGAGUGGAAUUCCCAGUGUAGAGGUGAAAUUCGUAGAUAUUGGGAGGAACACCCGUGGCGAAGGCGACUCUCUGGACCAAUACUGACGCUGAGACGCGAAAGCGUGGGGAGCAAACAGG